ACGGAAGGCAGCAGUGAGGAAUAUUGGUCAAUGGACGCAAGUCUGAACCAGCCAUGCCGCGUGCAGGAAUAAGGCCCUAUGGGUCGUAAACUGCUUUUGUGGUGGAGCAAUAAGUCGUACGUGUACGGCGAUGAGAGUACAUCACGAAUAAGCAUCGGCUAACUCCGUGCCAGCAGCCGCGGUAAUACGGAGGAUGCAAGCGUUAUCCGGAUUUAUUGGGUUUAAAGGGUGCGUAGGCUGUGGUCCAAGUCAGGGGUGAAAGCCCGGAGCUCAACUCCGGAACUGCCUUUGAUACUGGAUUGCUGGAAUACGGAUGCCGUGGGAGGAAUGAGUAGUGUAGCGGUGAAAUGCAUAGAUAUUACUCAGAACACCGAUUGCGAAGGCAUCUCACGAAUCCGUCAUUGACGCUGAGGCACGAAAGCGUGGGGAUCAAACAGAAUUAGAUACCCUGGUA
rnacentral:rRNA from 1 species